rnacentral:lncRNA from 1 species
AGAUGGGGGAAACUGAGGAAAGGCAUGGGUGAUGGAAAGUAGACUUCACAACUGCUUGCUCGCUGGCCCCAUGAUGUCCUGACACCAGAUUCUGGACUCCUGGAGGCUGCAUGUGAAGCCCAGCACAAUUUAGAAGGACUUUGACAAACUACUCAACCCUUUACUGUUCAGCAACCUCAUUCAAGAUGUUCUUGAUGAUCAGGCAGGUCGAUGUCUGAUUUGACCUGAUCUCAUUGAUGACUGGUCCCUACUGUGUGGGCCUCAAGCACAGACCAGGCUGCUACUGUCUGGAGGCUGGACUGUCCCAACAGCUUCAAAAUGAGGCUGAUCACCAACCAGGACAGCCAACAAGUCUGGCUGCCACAGAGGAGAUGACUGGGAGAGAGUAAAUGACAGAUCUGCUUAUUGCAUGAACACAGGAGCUCUGAGCAGGGUGUCUUGCUCUAGAAUCUGGACUACAGAAGGCUUCGAAGGAGACAGUAUCCAGUGGUAAGGCCCAGAAGCCAGCAACCAGGUGUUGGAGAAAAAAUGGACAGCGAAAUCACACGGGACCUCUGACCUCUGUACGGCUGACCCCCUGUUUGGUAGAGGACACUCGUAAAUUGAUUACUACAAAUGAACAGAACGUGUCUGUCAACUGUGACAAGGGCAGUGUGAGAUAAAUCAGCUGCAGUAGGAAAGCUUAGAAAGGGGGUUUGAUCCUGCUGUGAAGGACAAGUUCUGCCCGGCAAACAAGAGCAGGCAGCACUGAAGGAAGGAGGGUGAAGCUCCAGUGAGCAGCUGUAGAGCAUAGAAGCUGUACCCUGGAGACCUUGGCCAAGACAAGCAGCAUUGGACCUCUGACCUGGAUCCCAAAUGUUUCUUUUUCGAAAAGAAACAGAGCUAUCUAUCCCAUCUUGAGAUGUAUCUUUCAUUUGCAAGCAAAAGCAGAGGACCCUGAAUUCGAGGAAGUGGCGUGGACACUACCUGGGAAGAGAAAUAUUGAAAGGACGAGUAUUCCACAGAUGUUGGGAUUCUCUGGAUUCAGGCAGCCCCUAGAACCGGGAACCAGCAGAGGAUUCUGGGUAUGAGGCCUGCCUUACACAGAAAAGCAGCCCUGUUGUUGGCUGAGUGCAGGCGAGUACUAUGUGGUCUGAUGUUCCACCAUCCCGAAGGGGAGCAGCAGACUCUCCAUGCCAAUGAACAACACCGCCAGUCAAUGAUGCUGGGAACUCACUAUGGACGGUCAACUUGACAGACUAGAGAAUCGCCUAGGAGACAAACAUCUGGAUGAGUCGGUGGAGGAAGUUCUAGAUCAGGUUAAUUGAUAUAGGAUAUCCCACUCCACAUGUGAGUGGCACCACUCUGUCCUGAGCUGAAUAAGAGAAAGUGCAUCUCAGUCC